ensembl:lncRNA
GAGUCAUAGCUGCCUGGUAGGGGCUUUCUCAGGGAUGUUGUUGUGAACCAUCUAUUGGAUUCUUUCUUCUGAUUUGUCCCAGGGAACACAGUUAUAAUGACAAGAUUUUGAUCAGGGCAUCACCUAGCAGCCUCACUAGCUACUAGGUUCUAGUGCCCAUGGGUAAUCCACUUCACAAUUGAGACAGUAUUUUCUACUCUUAUCUGUGGAACAAAUUCACUCCAAAUGUAUAGUGUGGACUCUUUAUGCCUUUGAAAAAACUUACAAACUAAAUAUAAAUAUUUCUCUCUGGGCAAGAUUAGAUUCUGCUGAACUGGUAUCUGUAACUAUCCAGAGUCUGCACAGCUAUUAUCCCUAACGCACCAAGUAGUCAUAACUCAGUCGGCUCUGUGCUUUCUGAACCAAUCCUCAAGACCACUCCAUCAGUUUUUGUGUGUGGCUAGUGUUAGUUCCCAUUGCUUGCUAAAACUGCAUGCUUUUCACUGCAUCUAGGUCCCAAAGCAGUACGUACUGUCUGUUAAAUCUGCAGCGAGAUUUAAAGUAUUGGUUAUCAAUACUCCACAGUUGUUAUUGCUAAGGAAUGAGAUUAUUUUAUUGUCAGGCUGGUUCUCCUCCAGACCUCCACUGGCAAAAUGUGAAGGAGUUGCUAUAGAUUUCAGUGCUCUAGUGGUUUUUUUCUCUCUCUAAUCAACAUAACACUAUAUAACCCAUAACACCUCUAGAACUCUACCUGAUAUUUACAAUGCGAAAGCAGCCUUCUUAUUUUAAAAUAGCACCAGUAGCUCUUUUGAUUUUAUGAUUAACCUAGUCAGGAAACAUCAUAGAGAUCAGGAUAAGCUCUCACCCCUGAAACUUGACCCCUACGGACAUCUUCGUUUUCUGGGUAUUAGUAGUUAAGCACAUUCAGUGGGCUAGGCAGGUAAAUUAUUGAAUCUUCACUAUGUUCUGGGAAUUAAAAAGAUAAAAAAGACAGAUGUCUGGACUUUUGUUGGAGGAAAUUGGCAUGUAAACAAAACAAUUUCAAAUCUGUGUGUUAACUGCUGGGAGAGAGAUAUGUAAGAGGCACAGUGGGUUUCUGUUGUUGCUGUUUUUUGUUAUUUUGUUUUUAACAGAUGGAAUAAUCCAUUUUUGCCUGGGGACAGUGAAAGGACAGAGGAACGUCUCAUUAGAGAAGGUGUUUGACUUGGACCCUGAAGAAUUUUGCCAGGUGGAGAUAGAGAAAGACUCUAGCCAAGGAAAAGUUAAUUUGAAAAGGCAGAGAGUCAGAAGAAAGCAAACCCUUUUUUCCUUCAUGGCAAAUUUCUCAAAACGGAAUUGCUGGAUCAAAGGAGAUGUACACAUAGAAGACUUUUGUUAUGUCCUGCUUCAUUUCCCUCCUGGAAGAUGCAUCAACCUCUACGCCCACCAGCAGCCAAGUGCUAAUUUUUGAAAGUACACUGUAAUGCAUCCAAUGUAGACAAUGGUGUGGGUGAAUUUAAAGCUGCUUUUUAGUAAAUUCACAAGGAAAUAUCUGAGUCGGUUAAAAAGAAGUUCCUCUUUUCCGACUACAUUUCCAGUCAUAGGAACAAUGAGAUCCUCGGGAAGAUACAAAAAUGAAUGUGACAACCCUGGCGUACGACUGCUUCAGGAAAUCUUCAUAUUCUCUCUGACUUUGGAGCAACUAGAGAAACUUUUAAACAAAGAAUUGCUUAACGUUCAUCAUGAUGGAUCCAGGUCCUAUCACCCCAGGCUCUUUCCUAAGGCCUGGCCCUCACUCCUACUGUUCUUUCCUCCUGCUGUCAUCUCCUCAGGUCUCUGGAACAUUCCAAUAGACCAAAUUUGGAAAAGAAAGCCAUUACAUUGUGGAAAAUUUAAAGGCUAAGACAUUCCAAAGACAAAUG